UACGGGGGGAGCAAGCGUUGUUCGGAAUCACUGGGCGUAAAGGGCGCGUAGGCGGUCAGGUAAGUGGGAUGUGAAAUGCCCCGGCUCACCCGGGGACCGGCAUCCCAUACUGCUUGGCUUGAGUACGGGAGAGGAUGUGGGAAUUCCUGGUGUAGCGGUGAAAUGCGUAGAUAUCAGGAGGAACACCGGUGGCGAAGGCGCACAUCUGGCCCGAUACUGACGCUGAGGCGCGAAAGCUAGGGGAGCAAACGGG
rnacentral:rRNA from 1 species